GAGGGMAAGYCUGGUGCCAGCAGCCGCGGUAAUUCCAGCUCCAGUAGCGUAUAUUAAAGUUGUUGCAGUUAAAAAGCUCGUAGUUGGAUUUGUGGUGUGUUCAUUUGUGUGGCUCUCAACUCAGCUUCGGCUUAUUGUCGUUGUUGGUGUUGUUGCUACCAACACAUCAUCCUUGAUGGGAUUUAGAGUCAUUUCGACUUUUUAUUCUCAUCAUCCUUUACUUUGAAAAAAUUGGAGUGAUUCAAGCAGGCGAAAUACAACUCAUUUUACGUGAGUUAUUCAUUUUUGCUUCUGCACAUGUUAGCAUGGAAUAAUGCAAGAGGACUUGGGUUUUCCCUUUCAUUGGUUUCAGGAAUCCGAGUAAUGAUUGAUAGGGACAGUUGGGGGUGCUCAUAUUCGACGGCCAGAGGUGAAAUUCUUGGAUUCGUUGAGGAUGAACAACUGCGAAAGCAUUCACCAAGGAUGUCUUCUUUAAUCAAGAACGAAAGUUGGGGGAUCGAAGAUGAUCAGAUACCGUCGUAGUCCCAACCAUAAACGAUGCCGACCAGGGAUCAGCGAGCGUUGACUUUGCAUAUUUUUUAAUUUCGAUUAUGAAUAUUGCAAAUCUCAUUUAUUUGAAACGACCUCGUUGGCACCUUGCGAGAAAUCACCAGUCUUUGGGCUCCGGGGGGAGUAUGGUCGCAAGGCUGAAACUUAAAGGAAUUGACGGAAGGGCACAACCAGCAGUGGAGCCUGCGGUUUAAAUUGACUCAACACGGGGAAACUUACCAGGUCCAGACAUCAUAAGGAUUGACAGAUUGAAGAUCUUUCUUGAUUUGAUGGUUGGUGGUGCAUGGCCGUUCUUAGUUGGUGGAGUGAUUUGUCUGGUUAAUUCCGUUAACGAACGAGACCUCAACCUGCCAAAUAGGUUGGUGGAUUGUAAUGAUAUUUUAUUUUUUAUGAUUCACGUUGUGGUUUGUAUUUUUGGUUAAUUUUGAUUAAAGAUGCACCCAACUAAAUGGGAUUAACAUUUUUGUUUUUCUUUAUUUACAACACUUCUUGGAGGGACUAUCAGUUCGCAUCUGAUGGAGGUUUGAGGCAAUAACAGGUCUGUGAUGCCCUUCGAUGUCCUGGGCUACACGCGCGCUACACUGAUACAUGCAUCAAGCAGUUCAUUGAAAAAACGGACUUUUUGUUUGUUUUUGACACCUUUGCUGAUAGGCUUGGGGAAUCUUUGAACUUGUAUCGUGAUGGGGAUAGAUGAUUGCAAUUAUUCAUCUUCAACGAGGAAUUCCUAGUAAACGCGGCUCAUCAAGCCGCAUUGAAUACGUCCCUGCCCUUUGUACACACCGCCCGUCGCUGCUACCGAUUGAAUGGUUCAGCAAGCUCUACAGACUGGCUGCCUUUCUUGUCUUUUAUCGGAUGGGAACUUGGUGCCGGGAAGUGGCGCAAACUUGACCAUUUAGAGGAAGCAAAAGUCGUAACAAGG
rnacentral:rRNA from 1 species